rnacentral:ncRNA from 2 species
GGCGGCGAUGGGGAUGGGGUUCCCCCGAUAACCGCCCAUAUGGCUGAUGACUCCUAGCAAAGC